AAAAAGGAUCAAGACAGUAAUCUAAAUAAACAUUUGCACCAGGUAAAAAUCCAUAACUAUUUAAAGUCAAGUACUUCAACACAAAUAGUUUGGACUCCCAAUAGUUUCCAUAAAUAAUCCAAAAACUCCAAAUAUCGAAUUAAACAACUCCAACUGAGGUACUAUAUUCCCCAAUCAACAAUAAUCCAAUAAAUGAAAUAAACUAGAAUAAUCCAUUGACAAACAAAUCAAAGAACUAAACCUACUAUGAAAUAUAACUUCUACGAUCUCAAACUCCUUCCCGAACAACUGGAUCUACACGAGCUUCCUGGUGUUGCUCCCGAUCGUACUCAACUGGCUGCUCUCCUCCACCUACGCUCCAUAAGGAUACGUACCCACGUGCAAAACAAGCAACAUGGGUCAGCAAACUAUGCUGGUAUGAGUAGACGAGGGUAGGGAACUCCAUUCCCAAAAACAAUAAAAUAACACUCCGCGGUCUUUAUACAUUUAUCUCGUUUACUAAGUAAAUAUUAUAUGUUAUAAUAAUACAUUACCUGAGCUGCACCUCCUAUUAGGAUAGGUCGAGCCCUGCAAGAAAUGUUAAUUGACCUAUCCUCAUGCAAAACUGUGUUAGUACAAUAAUAUAUAAUUCAUGGCAUCUCAAGUCUCGAUACUAUAUCACAAUCAUUACAAAUCAAUCAUUACACCCAAACAACACUUCACAACCUAUACCCAAUCACUAGUAUAUCUCCCACAGGAUGCACUCCACACAUUUAUCAUACCCACACUGCACCAGUGUGCCUUGACCAUGGUUAAGACCCUCUACGCAGAAACCAAAACCCAAGUGGGUGCUCACCUGCGAGCUUUGGCUAGCUUCGACGUAUGCCUAACUCAUGGCCUCUACUAGCUCCCUUGAGCUUUCUAAAGUGGCGCCCAGACCAACCCCGAAGGCUAUGAAGGUCUGUAGGGUCAGUUCCGCAGGCUAAGCCGUCUAGGAAAUACCCAACAAAAAUAUAUAUAUAUAUAUAUAUUCCAAGUGUCAAUCCGCAGGCUUAGCCGUCUAGGGUGAUAUCUAAAUUCCUUAAUCUUAAUUCCACAGGUGCGGCAAAUGUACUUAUAAUUGGGUGACUACUAAAACUAGAUAAAUCAAGCAAUCACACAACAUCAUUCGAUCAUAGAACACAUAAACUCAAAAUUUCCAAAUCCUAAAUCCAUUCGGUAUUUCUUUUCCUUUUUCCCAUGUAAAUACACCGUCCAUGGUGUCGGCCAUUCCAAGGCAUUUAACAUAAAUUCUCAAAAUUUAGGAAUAAUCUCUUUUAUAAAUAUUUCCUCUAUAAACAUUAAAUUCCAUGGCAUGCAUAACCAUACAGAAAACAAAAAUCCAAGUCAUUUACUAUUAAUUUCGAUACACCACAGUAGCAUGAAAGCCUUAAUUCAAUAUAAUCAAACCAUACCAUCAGAACCCAUUUAAACCAGUACGCACCCGCUCGAUAACUUUUAUACUGUCAUCAGUUUUAAAACAUGUUUUUCAGUAAAAGCUUUCCACCAAAACAUAUUAAUAAAAUAAAAAAUAAAUUUCCAGAAAAACUGCCUCAUAUAACAAAGCAAUAUAUAAAAUUUCAACCUUUCAGUAUCUCUUUUUAGUAUGGGUAACCAUAUAUUAACAGUCGAUGCAUACCAAAAUCACGACAUCUGAUCACGUCAACCUUACAUUAUAAGCAUAUCACGUUAUGAAAAUUACUCCCUUUUUUUUUUAAUCAUCAGUAACUAGUUAUCUUCCACAACAAAAUAUAAUCAAACCCAUGUAUAUAUAUACUAAGUAGUACAUAGUUUAGAAAAAAAAACUAAAUCUACUCACCGUUAUUGCUGGUCGUCCACUUCUUCCCUUCCAAAUUCUUUUCUAAAACACCAAAUCUCUGCAACCCUUAAGUUUUCCAACUUCUUCUUCUUCCAAAAUUCUGAUCGCCGCCACUCUCUCUCUCUCUCUCUUUUUUUUAUCGCAAAACAAAUUUUAAAAUCUUUGCUGCCCAUAAAUAGAGAAUGCAUAAACCUAAGCUAAUUGAUCGUGUUUCCGAAGUAGCCGGAAACAAUUCUGAUCGUGUUCCGAAGUCCAAGGGAAGAAAACUGUUCGUGGGAUAUAUUUCAGCAAGUUUGGUUUAAUUAAACCAUAGUCCUCCCACUUUAUAUUAAUUAUGCUUAAACCCUUGGUCCAGGGACUUGCACCC
rnacentral:lncRNA from 1 species